rnacentral:pre_miRNA from 1 species
GAUUGGAGUGGAGGGUGAACCACGCUGGAGAAGCAGGGCACAUGCUUGACCUCUCGAAAUUAAUCUUCUGAUCGAGCAUAUGCUCUGGCUCUCCAGCAUGGAUUCUUUCUCCUACAAUU